rnacentral:rRNA from 1 species
CUACGGGGGGCUGCAGUAAGAAAUAUUGCGCAAUGGAGGCAACUCUGACGCAGCCAUGCCGCGUGCAGGAAGAAGGCCUUAUGGGUCGUAAACUGCUUUUAUUUAGGAAUAAACCCCCGAACGUGUUCGGGGCUGAAGGUACUAAACGAAUAAGCACCGGCUAACUCCGUGCCAGCAGCCGCGGUAAUACGGAGGGUGCAAGCGUUAUCCGGAUUUAUUGGGUUUAAAGGGUGCGCAGGCGGGCUAUUAAGUCAGUGGUGAAAUCCCGGGGCUCGACUCCGGAACUGCCAUUGAUACUGAUAGUCUUGAGUUUGGUUGAAGUGGGCGGAAUGUAGCAUGUAGCGGUGAAAUGCAUAGAUAUGCUACAGAACACCAAUCGCGAAGGCAGCUCACUAAGCCAAAACUGACGCUCAUGCACGAAAGCGUGGGGAUCAAACAGGAUUAGAUACCCCGGUAGUC